rnacentral:lncRNA from 1 species
AUCUAAAACAUGACCAGAAAUCCUGAACUGUGAGCAGAUGCUUUCACCCCAUAAUAUGCGAGUGUUUCUCUUGCCUUUUCUGUAACAAGGAUAUUUGGAAAUUUAUAAAGUUGUAAGAUUUCCAUUUUAUUCAGACUUUAUCUAAUAGCAUGUUAAUAUUCACAAAGGGCUGGAUGGACGAUGCUACAGAGGGCAGUCUGCACCCGAGUCAGCACAGUGUGGCAGGUUUGCUGUAGACAGUGAAGCAGUAGCUGGCUAUUGGUUACUUGUUGAGUGUGUGGCUAAACAAGGCUUAUGUAUGCUUGAUGUUAGGCCUUGGCCUCUUCAGUGCCUUGGAAAGAUGGACCGAACACUGAAGAGUCCAGCUGUGAUGUUAAAGAUCAGUAAAGGAAUGUAUAGAUUUGAAGAUUGUGUGGAACACACUUUCUGUGCUUCCUGGGACAAAGGCUUUUGUGUCUGGUUUGAAAUGCCAGCUGAUUUGUCUUUGUUCAUUUUUUCUAAUCUUGAUUGAUUAGGCUAUAGGACCCUCUCACUUCCUGUAGGACUAGAGAGAUACCUUGCCUAGCUGGGGUUGUGUUGUUUCUGUUUUUCUCUUUGGUUUCAGUCCAGUGCAUAUUUGAGCUGAGCUCCAGGGGGGUAACUCCUGACAGUAACAUGGCGUGUCCAUCUUCUCUUGUCCCUGAUUGAAAAGCAACUUUGCUUUUUAAAGUAUUGUUUAAAGUAAGCAAAUAUUGAGGUAUUUUGGUGACUUUCUGAAGCAAGAGUUUGUACUUUGAAAGCUUGAUUUGUUUUUUUGCUUUUUUUUUUUUUGUUUUGUUUUGUUUUUUUAAAUUAAUGUCUGGCUGGUGUUAAUGAAGGGGAAACACAUAAUUGAACUGUUUUGCGUGGUACAAAUGUGUGACUCCUGGCUGCUUGUGUUUAGCAACUGCUGUGUAUAUGUGUGUAUAUAUAGUGUUCUCAGUGCUUUGAAUUGAAUGGCUGUUGUCCUCCUUGACUCCCUUUCAUGGCCUAGAGAAUAUUAAUGCUGAAAAGCUGUGAAUACGAAAGAAAUCUCAUGCUCAAAAUAUGAAUUCCAAAGUAGCUGAUAGUAACAUGAGAAAAUUAUGCCUACGUGUUGCUGUGUAUAAAAAUCUUGUUCACAAAUAUGAAACUUUUUGAUGACGUAAAAUUUUGUUUAAAGACUAGAAUUUGAAUUUUUCAUGUCUGCCUGAGAAAAGAAAGCUGGAAUAAGCUGGAGAGCCCUUUUGUAGUCUAUUGAGUGCUUAUAGAUUCUCAAGAUUUCCUAGGGAAGGACAGAGCAGGGGUUUUCUAGCUUUGACCUCUAUGUAUGUAUGGGGUCACUCUUGAGCAUUGGCUUGAGGUGACUGUGUGGUGGAUGGCUUCUUGGCACGUUAGCCAUGGCACUGGGCUUCUGUAGAAGUGCCAAGGAGGUGAUCUGCCUGUGGCAAGUCAUCUAAGUUUCAAGUGUGAAAACUAUUGUGAGCCUGGGACCGAGUCUUCCUAGGACACCCAGUUUCUAAAGUGACUUACGCAGUAUUCAAACCUUCUGUGCAAUGCCUUUUUUUGGUUGUUUUUGUAACGGGUGCAGUGUAUUAUAGGAAAAAAAAGGAAACUACAAUCACAAGCAGUUUUGUUUAAUGCUGCUUUGUCAGUUUUGUAAAAGAAAAUGUACAUAAUGUCUUUCAACAGGUUUUAGACUAGAGGAAAUAACAUUGUAAAUCACAGUAGCCUAAUUUAAUAGUAAAAGUACUUAAUGUAUUAUAAUGUGUAUAUUUCUCUAACUUUGUUUCCAGCUGUUUUAUAUGAUUGACAUGUUAUUUAAAGAUAACUACCAUAGCUUCUUAGAGACUUGUACUGUAAAUAAAGAGGACCUUC